rnacentral:rRNA from 1 species
AUUGAACGCUGGCGGCAGGCCUAACACAUGCAAGUCGAGCGGACUCAGGUAGCUUGCUACCUGAGUUAGCGGCGGACGGGUGAGUAACGCGUAGGAAUUUGCCCAGUAGUGGGGGAUAACGUUCCGAAAGGAACGCUAAUACCGCAUACGCCCCAAGGGGGAAAGCAGGGGAUCUUCGGACCUUGCGCUAUUGGAGAAGCCUGCGUCGGAUUAGCUAGUUGGUAGGGUAAAGGCCUACCAAGGCGACAAUCCGUAGCUGGUCUGAAAGGAUGAUCACCCACACUGGGACUGAAACACGGCCCAAACUCCUACGGGAGGCAGCAGUGGGGAAUAUUGGACAAUGGGGGCAACCCUGAUCCAGCCAUGCCGCGGGUGUGAAGAAGGCCUUAGGGUUGUAAAGCACUUUCAGUGGGGAGGAAAAGUUGACGGCUAAUACCCGUUGACCCUGACGUUACCCACAGAAAAAGCACCGGCAAACUCCGUG